CGUUUUUAAAGUUUAACAUAAUAUCAGAGUAAUAUUUUUAUUAAAUUCUCACUCCUUCAUGGAGUAAUAUCGGUAUUUCAAUACUUUAUUGUAUCAACAAACAAUAUAUAUGGCGUUAGAAUAUAAAUUACUAUCAGAUAAUGUUAUUAGCUACUUGACAAUACAGUCGGCACCUCACCCACGGAAUUAGGAUGGAGCAUCCUGUAGGAUAAUAUCUGUUAUGUGAUGUUACAGAUGCCGCGUCAGAUUAGUCGUAAUAAAUAAAACUAGCUUUAUAUCUAGAUUAAAUGGACAGUUAUGUAUUCUGUAUAUUCCGAGCGUGUAUUAAAAUUUUGAAUGUUGAAUAUAAAAUGAAUGAUAACAAAUGAAAUAAACAUUUAUAUUUCACAACAUGUAGGUAUAUACAGUAAAUGUAUUAUUCUGAAUAGUAAGAUUUUAUUAUUAGUGAAAAUACAAGAUAUAUUUUUGG